rnacentral:rRNA from 1 species
UACGUAGGGUGCAAGCGUUAAUCGGAAUUACUGGGCGUAAAGCGUGCGCAGGCGGUGAUGUAAGACAGUUGUGAAAUCCCCGGGCUCAACCUGGGAACUGCAUCUGUGACUGCAUCGCUGGAGUGCGGCAGAGGGGGAUGGAAUUCCGCGUGUAGCAGUGAAAUGCGUAGAUAUGCGGAGGAACACCGAUGGCGAAGGCAAUCCCCUGGGCCUGCACUGACGCUGAGGCGCGAAAGCUAGGGGAGCAAACAGG